GACGAACGCUGGCGGCGUGCUUAACACAUGCAAGUCGAACGGUGAAGGGGUCUGCUUUUGUGGGCCCUGGUUGAGUGGCGAACGGGUGUGAAACACGUGAGUAACCUGCCCCCUUCUUCUGGAUAACCGCAUGAAAGUGUGUCUAAUACGGGAUUUUCUUGGUCUGUCGCAUUCUGGGUCUGGGGAAGAUUGCGCCGUUGGGUGUUGUUGGUUGGGGGUUGGGUCGCCGCCUAUCUGCUUGUUGGUGGGGUGAUGGCCUACCAAGGAGGCGGCGCGGAGCCGGGCUGGGGGGGUGCACGGCUAGACUGGGAAUGAGACACGGACCAGACUCGUACGCGGGGGAGCAGUGGCGAAUAUAGCGCAAUGGGGGCAGGCGGGAUGCAGCGACGCCGGGUGAGAGAUGGAGGCGUUCGGGUUGUAAUCCUCUUAGGCAAGUGAAGCAGGCCUGGUACUUGUGGGUGGGUUGACGGUAGCUGGAUAAGAAGCGCCGGCUAACUACGUG
rnacentral:rRNA from 1 species